CCUACGGGUGGCAGCAGUGAGGAAGAGUGGUCAAUGGCCGUAAGGCUGAACCAGCCAAGUCGCGUGAAGGAAGAAGGAUCUAUGGUUUGUAAACUUCUUGUAUAGGGGAAUAAAGGUAUCCACGUGGGGAUAUUUGCAUGUACCCUAUGAAUAAGCAUCGGGUAACUCCGUGCCAGCAGCCGCGGUAAUACGGAGGAUGCGAGCGUUAUCCGGAUUGAUGGGGUUUAAAGGGUGCGUAGGUUGUUUUUUAAGUCAGCGGUGAAAGUGUGUGGCUCAACCAUAAAAUUGCCGGUGAAACUGGAAGCCUUGAGUGUGUUUGCGGUAGGCGGAAUGCGUGGUGUAGCGG
rnacentral:rRNA from 1 species